CCUACGGGAGGCAGCAGUGGGGAAUAUUGGACAAUGGGGGAAACCCUGAUCCAGCAAUGCCGCGUGAGUGAAGAAGGCCCUAGGGUUGUAAAACUCUUUCAGUCGUGACGAUGAUGACGGUAGCGACAGAAAAAGCCCCGGCUAACUCCGUGCCAGCAGCCGCGGU
rnacentral:rRNA from 1 species